GUCUAUGACCCUACCACCCUGAACACAUCCGAUCUCUUCUGAUCGCAGAAGCUAAGCAGGGUCGUGCCUGGUUAUCUUGGAUG
rnacentral:rRNA from 1 species